GAUGAACGCUGGCGGCGUGCCUAAUACAUGCAAGUCGAGCGAACAGACGAGGAGCUUGCUCCUCUGACGUUAGCGGCGGACGGGUGAGUAACACGUGGAUAACCUACCUAUAAGACUGGGAUAACUUCGGGAAACCGGAGCUAAUACCGGAUAAUAUAUUGAACCGCAUGGUUCAAUAGUGAAAGACGGUUUUGCUGUCACUUAUAGAUGGAUCCGCGCCGCAUUAGCUAGUUGGUAAGGUAACGGCUUACCAAGGCAACGAUGCGUAGCCGACCUGAGAGGUGAAUCGCCCACCCGGGACUUGAGAACCGGCCCAGCAUCCUAGGGGAGGCAGCAGGGGGGAAUCUUCCGCAAUGGGCGAAAGCUUGACGGAGCAACGCGGCGGGGUUGAUGAAGGUUUGCGGAUCGUAAACUCUUUUUUUGAGGGAAAAAAAAAUUUGUAAGUAACUUUGCACGUUUGGGAGGUACCAAAUAAAAAAGCCCCGCAAAACUACGU
rnacentral:rRNA from 1 species